GAUGAAGAACGUAGCGAAAUGCGAUAAGUAAUGUGAAUUGCAGAAUUCAGUGAAUCAUCGAAUCUUUGAACGCACCUUGCGCCUUUUGGUAUUCCGAAAGGCACACCUGUUUGAGCGUCAUGAAUACCUCAAUCUCCAUCUUUUCUUCGGAUUGAUGGGUGACUUGGAUGUUGAGCCCUGCUGGUAUGCUAUAUCAGCUGGCUUUAAACUUAUUAGCCGGCUCUGUACUGGAUCGGUUUGACUCGACGUGAUAAUAUUAUCGUUGAGGAUGCAUGUCUCAUGCAGCCGGAAAGUAUCAAAGCCGCUUCUAGCUUGCCUUUAGUGCACUUUUACAUUUUAGACCUCAGAUCAGGUGGGACUACCCGCUGAACUUAAGCAUAUCAAUAAGCGGAGGA
rnacentral:misc_RNA from 1 species